UGGGGAAUAUUGGACAAUGGGGGGAACCCUGAUCCAGCCAUGCCGCGUGUGUGAAGAAGGCCUUAUGGUUGUAAAGCACUUUAAGCGAGGAGGAGGCUACUAGUAUUAAUACUACUGGAUAGUGGACGUUACUCGCAGAAUAAGCACCGGCUAACUCUGUGCCAGCAGCCGCGGUAAUACAGAGGGUGCGAGCGUUAAUCGGAUUUACUGGGCGUAAAGCGUGCGUAGGCGGCCAUUUAAGUCAAAUGUGAAAUCCCCGAGCUUAACUUGGGAAUUGCAUUCGAUACUGGAUGGCUAGAGUAUGGGAGAGGAUGGUAGAAUUCCAGGUGUAGCGGUGAAAUGCGUAGAGAUCUGGAGGAAUACCGAUGGCGAAGGCAGCCAUCUGGCCUAAUACUGGACGCUNGAGGUACGAAAGCAUGGGGAGCAAACAGGAUUAGAUACCUGGUAGUCCAUGCCGUAAACGAUGUCUACUAGCCGUUGGGGCCUUUGAGGCUUUAGUGGCGCAGCUAACGCGAUAAGUAGACCGCCUGGGGAGUACGGUCGCAAGACU
rnacentral:rRNA from 1 species